UUCAACAAACAAACUCUUGCAAUAUGCAUUUACACAAAUGUUUUUACCAGAAAGCACAUAAGACCCAUAUGCUUUUUGGGUUUACACAACCCAAAACAUCUGUUUGAAACGGAAGGUUAAAUCAUUCCAUGUGUAUAGGUAUGUUGAUUGGUAGAGAAAUAUGAAUCAUUACCUGAAUUUUUUUUUUUUUACCCGGCACAAUACUGUUUUUCUCUAAAGAGAUUGACUCACCAAGCUUAUCUCAUCCUUUUAAGAACAUAGUGAAAUUAAUUUCCCAAUCAUCAUUGCAUGGGCAUGAGGCCCGACAACCAGCACUCAUCAAUGGCAUGUAGUGAAAGUGAACUGGCCCUGAGGGACUAAGGAGGUUCUGUCCUUCUUCCCCCAUCUGCUGACUGGAGGACACCAGGAUGAGCUUGAAAUCCUGUGUUGAAGACAGUGGAACUACAUGAAAGAAGCCAUGUCCCUGAACGAUUAUGGAAGCAAAGGAGUCUUUGGAGUAAACAGCCUCGCUACAUGGCACAAAGAUGGCAUGUCACAACUGACUUAUGACACUCCUACUAUUUACUCUGCCUCCACUUUAAGUCAUAACUGAUCCAUGAAUUCAGCAAAAUCACAGGAUAUAAAAUCAACAAACAGAAAUCGGUUGCAUUUCUAUACACCCAUAAUGAAGCAGCAGAAGGAGAAAUCAAGAAUCAAGGAAUUGAUCCCAUUUACAAUUGCACCCAAACCAUAAGAUACCUAGAAAUAAACCUAACCCAAGAGGUAAAAGAUCUGUAUGCUGAAAACUAUAGAACACUUACCAAAGAAAUGGAAGAGGACACGAAGAAAUGGAAAAAACAUUCCAUGCUCGUGGAUUGGAAGAAAAAAUACUGUUAAAAUAUUGAUACUACCCAAAGCAAUCUACACAUUCAAUGCAAUCCCUAUCAAAAUAACACCAGGAUUCUUCACAGGACUAGAAAAAAUUAUUCUAAAAUUUUUAUGGAACCAGAAAAACCCCAAAUAGCCGAAAGCAAUGUCGAAAAAGAAAACCAAAGCUGGAGGCAUCACAAUUCCAGACUUCAAGCGAGAUUACAAAGCUGUAAUCAUCAAGACAGUAUGCUACUGGCACAAAAACAGACGCAUAGAUCCGUGGAACAGAAUAGAGAACCCAGAAAUGGACUCACGAACAUAUGGCCAACUAAUCUUUAACAAAUCAGGAAAUAUCCAAUGGAAAAAAAAGACAGUCCCUCCAGCAAAUGGUGUUGGGAAAACUCAACAGCGAUGUGCAGAAGAAUGAAACUGUACCACUUUUUACACCAUACACAAAAAUAAGUUCAAAAUGGAUGAAAGACCUAAAUGUAAGACAGAAAACCAUCAAAAUCCUAGAGGAGAAAACAGGCAGCAACCUCUUUGACCUCAGCCCAGCACUUCUUACUAGACAUGUCUCCAGAGGCAAGGGAAACAAAAGCAAAAAUGAACUAUUGGGACCUCAUCAAGAUACAAGCUUCUGCACUGCAAAGGAAACAAUCAACAAACUAAAAGGCAACUGACAGGAUGAGAGAAGAUAUAUGCAAACAACUUGUUGGAUAAAGGGUUCAUAUGCAAAAUCUAUAAAGAACUUAUCAAACUCAACACCAAAAAAGCAAAUAAUCCAGUGAAAAUAUGGGCAAAAGACAUGAAUAGACACAUUUCCAAAGAAGACAUCCAGAUGGCUAACAGACACGUGAAAAGAUGCUCAACAUCACUCAUUAUCAAGGAAAUACAAAUCAAAACCACAAUGAGAUACCACCUCACACCUGUCAGAAUAGCUAAGAUGAACAACUCAGGAAACAAUAGAUGUUGGCGAGGAUGUAGAGAAAGGGGAACCCUUUUGCAAUGUUGGUGGAAAUGCAAACUGGUGCAGCCACUCUGGAAAAGAGUAUGGAGGUUCCUCAAAAAAUUAAAAAUAUAACUACCCUAAGACCCAGCAAUUGUACUACUAGUUAUUUAUCCAAGGGAUACAAG